AUUGAACGCUGGCGGAAUGCUUUACACAUGCAAGUCGAACGGCAGCACGGGGCAACCUGGUGGCGAGUGGCGAACGGGUGAGUAAUACAUCGGAACGUGCCCAAUAGUGGGGGAUAACGUAGCGAAAGUUACGAUAAUACCGCAUACGAGCUACGGAUGAAAGCGGGGGGUCGCAAGACCUAGCGCGAAUGGAGCGGCCGAUGUCAGAUUAGGUAGUUGGUGGGGUAAAGGCUCACCAGGCCAACGAUCUGUAGCUGGUCGGAGAGGACGACCAGCCACACUGGGACGGAAAAACGGCCCAGACUCCUCCGGGAGGCAGCAGGGGGGAAUUUUGUACAAUGGGCGCAAGCCUGAUCCAGCCAUUCCGCGUGCAGGAUGAAAGCCUUCGUGUUGUAAACUGCUUUUGUACGGAACGAAACGGUUCUCUCUAAUUCAGGGGGCUAAUGACGGUACCGAAAGAAUAAGCACCGGCUAACUACGUGCCAGCCGCCGCCGUAAAAC
rnacentral:rRNA from 1 species